rnacentral:rRNA from 1 species
UGCAUAUCAAAAAGCGGAGGAAAAGAAACCAACAGGGAUUGCUCUAGUAACGGCGAGUGAACAAGCAAAAGCUCAGUUUUGAAAGCCUCUUCGGAGGCAUUGUAUUCUGAAGCCUAGAUUCUGGGAACCGGUACUUAAGUCUUCUGGAAAGGAGCGCCACGGAGGGUGAUAGCCCCGUACGGUACUGACCCCAUUGUAGUUUCUAGGCGUGGAGUCGAGUUGUUUGGGAAUGCAGCUCAAAUGGGAGGUAUGCUCCUUCUAAAGCUAAAUAUUUGCGAGAGACCGAUAGCGAACAAGUACUGUGAAGGAAAGAUGAAAAGAACUUUGAAAAGAGAGUGAAAUAGGACGUGAAAUUGUUGAAAUGGAAGGGUAGGCCGCUAACCAUGUAGGACCGUGUUUGAGGGGAAGAUAAAAGCUUCGGAAUGUGGCUCCUCGGAGUGUUAUAGCCGAAGUCAAUGUUCCCACUCGAUCGCGAGGAUCUCAGGUUCUACUAAAUGGUGGUCUACCACCCGUCUUGAACCACGGACCA